UUCUAUAAAAUUAUAGAACCUUUUAUGCUAAAACUAGUAACAAGAGAUCACCCCUCUCUAUAAUGCAAGUACAAGCCAGCAAGAACCCACCACUGGCAACCAACAGACAUAAGUAGUAACUUCCCUGGAAAACCCUACUUCACUCCAACUAUUAACCUAAUACUAGAGCAUUUCAAGAAAGAUUAAAAGAAAGAGAAGGAAUUCCGCAAACAUUAGCCCCGCCUGUUUACCAAAAACAUCGCCUUUUGCCCCCAUAAAAGGUCUAGCCUGCCCAGUGACUCUGUUCAACGGCCGCGGUAUCCUAACCGUGCAAAGGUAGCGUAAUCACUUGUCUUCUAAAUAGAGACCAGUAUGAAAGGCAUCACGAGGGCUAAACUGUCUCCUCUCCCUAAUCAGUGAACCUAAUACCCCCGUGAAGAAGCGGGGAUUUUUAUAUAAGACGAGAAGACCCUAUGGAGCUUAAAACAUUAUAUCACCUGCCCCUCACUAAUUCACUCCGGUUUAUUCACCUCCAGGCACCCUGAUUAUAUGUUUUUGGUUGGGGUGACCGCGGAGAAAAACCUAUCCUCCACAAUGAAAGAAAUUCCCUAAACAACAAGCUACAGCUUUAUGUAUCAGUAAACUGACAUCAUUGACCCAAUAUAAUUGAUUAACGAACCAAGUUACCCUAGGGAUAACAGCGCAAUCCACUUCAAGAGCCCCUAUCGAC
rnacentral:rRNA from 1 species